CUUUAUCUCCAGGACCCGCCCCGAGGGCUCGCCCCGCCCCCACCAUGGACUCCACCGCCUGGGAAACCCCAUUUUUCUCGCCAAACCAGCUGUUCUCUAGCAACAGCUCUCCUUUUGUAGGUCUGUGCCCCUGUGGUGCCAGGACAACCAAGUAUCCUGCCCUCACAGUGAACAGCUGAGGGAACCUUCAGAAGACCCAGUCACACACCCCUUCCUUGAAGGAGUUGCGGGCAUUAGCAGGCCCCAGCAUCUCACUGGACAUGGGGAGGACAAGGAAAUACAACUAAUAAGCAAGGUGGUACACACCUAUGCUCUCAGAACUCAGGCUGCUGAGACUGUACAGUAAGCCGAGGACAGCUUGGGCUACAUACACAGACCCUGUCUCACAAGAGGAAAUUGGAGGACCACUUCUGCCCACCCACACAGGACAAUAUAUUUGCUGAGGAUUGAACAGAUAAACGGGUCCCUUUGCUUGAA